rnacentral:rRNA from 1 species
GAUGAACGCUGGCGGCGUGCUUAACACAUGCAAGUCGAACGAUGAAGCCCAGCUUGCUGGGUGGAUUAGUGGCGAACGGGUGAGUAACACGUGAGUAACCUGCCCUUGACUCUGGGAUAAGCCUGGGAAACUGGGUCUAAUACCGGAUAGGAACGUCCACCGCAUGGUGGUUGUUGGAAAGAUUUAUCGGUCAUGGAUGGACUCGCGGCCUAUCAGCUUGUUGGUGAGGUAAUGGCUCACCAAGGCGACGACGGGUAGCCGGCCUGAGGGGGUGACCGGCCACACUGGGACUGAGACACGGCCCAGACUCCUACGGGAGGCAGCAGUGGGGAAUAUUGCACAAUGGGCGAAAGCCUGGUGCAGCGACGCCGCGUGAGGGAUGACGGCCUUCGGGUUGUAAACCUCUUUCAGUAGGGAAGAAGCGAAAGUGACGGUACCUGCAGAAGAAGCACCGGCUAACUACGUGCCAGCCGCCGCGGUAAAAC